GCCAGCGUGGCUCAGUUAGUAAGACUGAUAACCAAGGCCGCACACAUUAAAGGUGCGUGGGUUUGAAUCCCACUGCUGGCA
rnacentral:tRNA from 1 species